CUCCAAAAGAUUGAGCUCUGUAAAAAAAAAAAUUUACUAACCCUUCAACCAAUCUCUUGAUAAAUUUUUUUUUUGUAGGUACAAUCCAGUGGCUCUUCUAUUAGCCACUUCUAUAACCAGAUGAUUACCACUAUUUUCUGAAGACAACCACUACUACUAUUCUCGAAGUCGGUUUAAUUCUCAAAGAUGAUUUAUCUUCAAAAAUCAAUCUACACC
rnacentral:lncRNA from 1 species